ACCGCGAGGAGCGUCCUAGGGUAAAACUGGUGAUUGGGGCUAAGUCGUAACAAGGUAGCCGUACCGGAAGGUGCGGCUGGAACACCUCCUUU
rnacentral:ncRNA from 1 species